AGCUGAUCUCUGAUCUCUUUCAUCCAGCCCAGGGGCUGGAGGGUGCCUGGGAUGAUGGAAUGGUCUGGAAUCCCCAAACACAAACAGAAAAAAACUCUGCCCUUCCUCAAAGUGCCGGGAUAAUUUCCUGUAUUCCCAGAAAAACACAUGUCUGGCGGCUGAAACAACAAAGUGUGCGAGCCCAGCCAGCCCCGCAGCCAGCGCGCCUGUUUAAGCCAUUUAUUACGUUCUGGGCCGCUGUGGUCGGAAGAAGUUGUCUCCUGAUCCAGUCUGUUACCAACGACCAGUGGUGCGGGAGCUGCACAGCGUGGCAGGGGGAAAUCAAGCGACCACUAAAGGAUGGCCUUUGAACAGGGGUUCUCUAGAGGUCAUGAAAGGCAGCAACCAUGGGGACCUCCGGCUCCUUCCCAUAUUGAAAAAGAGCAAAUGGAAGUCACACUCGCCCCUGGUGUGUACCACGUGUAAUCACCACCUAGAUCAAGAAUGUUUCCAUUACCCUGGAAAGUUCCGUCCAGGACCUUCCCCUAAAGGGACCCUCCGGUCUGACCUCCAGCACCAUGGCUGAGUGUCACCUGACCUUGGACAGACACAAAGGUCAUCAUGCAAGAUGUGGUCCUCUGUAUCUUGUGUGCAACUCUGCCAAGUGGGAACGCUCUUGAUGCAGACUUACCAACCCCUGUUUCUAAUGAAUAAAGAUUGUGGAACAAAUAUGAAUUACAGGAGGAAGCUAAGGCUCCAAAAGAGUGGUUUGUACAACGUGGCAACAAAACAAGACUCGAACCCAGGACACGCUCCCUUCAACCACCCCAGGACCCAGUGCAGGAUGCUGCAAGGAGCUGCAGGGCUGAGGCAGGAGGGCAUGCAGUCAGGGCUUGUUUCUGAAUCUCUG